rnacentral:lncRNA from 1 species
CCUGCAUGUCCCACGGUACCUGCUGCUCUGCACUUCUUGACCCCUCUCUCAGCUGCAGUUUUCCAGGACUCCAGCACAGCAAAGCAGAGACAGGCUGAAAUCUCCAGCUGUGCAAUGCAGGAACAUUUUGAAGCAGGAAAUAACAGGGACAAGACAACAGCAUUCCUGUGCUUGAGUGGACAUUCAGAAUACUCAAGGAAUGUAUCGGACCAGAAUGAAGGCAGGUGCUUUUAAUACAGAAGGAGCUUCUGCCUCUGGAGGAAACCCCCCUUCCCCUCUCCUGCUGCUUAUGAAGUAUUGUUGCCUCUCUGAUGCCAUCCCAUCCCUUACUUCUGCUUAG